GGCCAGCAGCCGCGGUAAAACGUAGGAGGCGAGCGUUAUCCGGAUUUACUGGGUGUAAAGCGCGUGCAGGCGGGUUGAUAAGUUGGAUGUGAAAGCUCCCGGCUUAACUGGGAGAGGUCGUUCAAGACUGUCAGCCUUGAGUACAGUAGAGGAAAGUGGAAUUCCGGGUGUAGUGGUGAAAUGCGUAGAUAUCCGGAGGAACACCAGUGGCGAAAGCGGCUUUCUGGACUGUAACUGACGCUCAGACGCGAAAGCUAGGGUAGCAAACGGGAUUAGAGACCCCGGUAGUCCUAGCCGUAAACGAUGUAGACUUGGCGUAGGCGGGUUUAAAUCCGGCUGUGCCGAAGCAAACGCGAUAAGUCUACCACCUGGGGACUACGGCCGCAAGGUUAAAACUUAAAGGAAUUGGCGGGGGAC
rnacentral:rRNA from 1 species